UUUUCCGUAGGUGAACCUGCGGAGGGAUCAUUACCGAGUUUACAACUCCCAAACCCCUGUGAACAUACCACUUGUUGCCUCGGCGGAUCAGCCCGCUCCCGGUAAAACGGGACGGCCCGCCAGAGGACCCCUAAACUCUGUUUCUAUAUGUAACUUCUGAGUAAAACCAUAAAUAAAUCAAAACUUUCAACAACGGAUCUCUUGGUUCUGGCAUCGAUGAAGAACGCAGCAAAAUGCGAUAAGUAAUGUGAAUUGCAGAAUUCAGUGAAUCAUCGAAUCUUUGAACGCACAUUGCGCCCGCCAGUAUUCUGGCGGGCAUGCCUGUUCGAGCGUCAUUUCAACCCUCAAGCACAGCUUGGUGUUGGGACUCGCGUUAAUUCGCGUUCCCCAAAUUGAUUGGCGGUCACGUCGAGCUUCCAUAGCGUAGUAGUAAAACCCUCGUUACUGGUAAUCGUCGCGGCCACGCCGUUAAACCCCAACUUCUGAAUGUUGACCUCGGAUCAGGUAGGAAUGCCCGGAA
rnacentral:rRNA from 1 species